CGGAGCGUGGCGCAGCCUGGUUAGCGCACUUGUCUGGGGGACAAGGGGUCGCCGGUUCAAAUCCGGCCGCUCCGACCA
rnacentral:tRNA from 2 species